GAGGAUGUGGCUCAGUGGUAGAGUGCUUGCCUAGCAUGCAUGAGGCCCUGGGUUCAAUUCCUUGGUACCACA
rfam:Dipodomys ordii contig_4059, whole genome shotgun sequence.